GGUGCUGUGGCUUAGCUGGUCAUAGUGCCUGUCUAGUAAACAGGACUUUCUGGGUUAAAAUCCCAGCAGUGCCU
rnacentral:tRNA from 1 species